rnacentral:rRNA from 1 species
ACUCCUACGGGAGGCAGCAGUUAGGAAUCUUGCGCAAUGGGCGAAAGCCUGACGCAGCAACGCCGCGUGUGGGAUGAAGGCUUUCGGGUUGUAAACCACUUUCAGUAGGAACGAAAUUGACGGUACCUACAGAAGAAGCUCCGGCCAACUACGUGCCAGCAGCCGCGGUAAUACGUAGGGAGCGAGCGUUGUCCGGAUUUAUUGGGCGUAAAGAGCUCGUAGGCGGCUUAGAAAGUCAGGUGUGAAACCUCCAGGCUCAACCUGGAGACGCCACUUGAUACUUCUAUGGCUAGAGUUCGGUAGGGGACCACGGAAUUCCUGGUGUAGCGGUGAAAUGCGCAGAUAUCAGGAGGAACACCGAUGGCGAAGGCAGUGGUCUGGGCCGAAACUGACGCUGAGGAGCGAAAGCAUGGGGAGCGAACAGGAUUAGAUACCCUGGUAGCGAG